ensembl:lncRNA
UUUAUUUAUUUAUUUAUUUAUUGAAUGUAGUAUUCGGUGUUAGGGUAGUUUUUUGUUGUUUAUUCCAGCAAAGUAUGAGGUAGUUACACCCCAGUCUAGUAGGUGGCGGUAAUGCAACAUUUAUUGGAUGCCAACCGCCGUUAAACCGUUAAAUCGAAGAAGAAGAUGCGCGCUUGCUGCAUAACUAUGUGAACGUCACCAGCUCGCGGUCUCUACACAGUCCACGGUGGUGAGUUGGUUAGGCCUACUGAACAGCACAAACUGGCCCUAACCAGAACAGAAAGAGGAGUUGGAGGCCCCGGUGCACAAAAAAACCCAGCCGCUUCCAGGCCUGCAGUGACUGAAAAGCAGUCUGGAGCUCUUCAACAGCCUGAACCAGAGAAGGAGCACAUGAAUAUAUGACUGGAUACAUCUGACAACACACCAUAUCCUCUAUUUGUCAUUUCAUCAACGAGUGCAAGCGAAGUGAAGAGGUUUGUCAUGAAGGAACUUGCUAACCUUGAGGCACCUGAGAUUGCUCUGCAAGACCGAGAACGACACUGGGUCCCUGACCCAACCCAGUCCCAGGGAGGAGAGUGUGCGAUCCACCAUAUGGCUCCAUGUGACCACUGGAUGAGGCAAGGCUCCGUAGCUUGUAACCAACACGGAUUGGUUUACCUCUUAUGAAUUGCUUAUAUCCAUGUCGGCCAUAGUAUCAGAUCAUGCUCUCAUUCACUGACAGCCAUUCCUGAAAUGGCAUGACUUUGUAUGACUGACUGAGCUCUGAGAAGAUGGACCAAACCUUUAAAAAAAAUGGGUCGUCAGUGAUCUUUGUGUUGUCAACCACAUGAACUGAGGCCAUUUUAUUUAAAUAAAAGCAAUUUCUCCGCAUUUGAAUCUGAAGUGCUUUCAUUGUGUACAUCACUGUCAAGUGACCAGUACACGUGUCUUAUUGGAACAGAGAUGGGAUAAGGAUCCCAUCGAAUAUAAGAAGCUCAUCCAUCCUCCGAUACAGUUGCUUGUCCUUGGUCUGGGUGGAGUGGAGGUUGGACAUUUCAAUGGCGAUCUCUCUUAGGGUGGGUGGAUACAGUUGAGGUUUUAGGCUGGGUUUCUGUACAGCACUUUGAGACAUCAGCUGAUGUACGAAGGGGCUAUACAAAUACAUUUGAAUUGAUUUGAUUUACACUUGUUUAUCCCAUGUGUAACUCUGUGUCUGUCGCACUGCUUUGCUUUAUCUUGG